rnacentral:rRNA from 1 species
CCCUUAGAUGCUCUGGGCCGCACGCGCACUACACUGGUCGAUGCAACGAGUUUCUUUCCUUGGCCGACAGGCCUGGGUAAUCUUUGAACAUCGAUCGUGAUCGGGAUAGAUUCUUGUAAUUUUUGAUCUUAAACGAGGAAUUCCUAGUAAACGCAAGUCAUCAGCUUGCAUUGAUUACGUCCCUGCCCUUUGUACACACCGCCCGUCGCACCUACCGAUUGAAUGGUCCGGUGAAAUCUCCGGACUGACGUGAGUCGGAGCAAUCUGACAAACGCCGGAAAGUUGAUUAAACCUUACCAUUUAGAGGAAGGUGAAGUCGUAACA